rnacentral:rRNA from 1 species
UAUGUGAUCGUCUCUCGCAUAUCAAUAAGCGGAGGAAAAGAAACUAACAAGGAUUCCCCUAGUAACGGCGAGUGAAGCGGGAAGAGCUCAAAUUUGAAAUCUUAAAGGGUUUCCCUUUACGAAUUGCAGUUUAAAGAAGUGUUUUCUGUUGAGGUUUUGGUAAAAGUUCUUUGGAAUAGGACAUCAUAGAGGGUGAGAAUCCCGUAUUUGACCUUUACUUUCAACUUUGUGAUACACUUUCAAAGAGUCGGAUUGUUUGGGAAUGCAGUCCAAAAUGGGUGGUAAAUUUCAUCUAAAGCUAAAUAUUGGCGAGAGACCGAUAGCGAACAAGUACCGUGAGGGAAAGAUGAAAAGAACUUUGAAAAGAGAGUUAAACAGUACGUGAAAUUGUCAAAAGGGAAGCGUUUGACACCAGUGUUGUUUUUCUGAAAAUCAAUUAAAGAACUGUUUAUGCUAAGUUGUUUAGACUUUAUCAGCUAACUGUUUAGUUUUGAGCUUUUCUUUAAUGCACUUUUCAGUUAACAAGUCAACAUCAAUUUCUUUUGCUGUAAAAAAGCUUGAGGAAGGUGGCUUGAGAUUCGUCUUAAGUGUUUAUAGCCUCUUGCCUAUGCAGUCGGAGAGAUUGAGGUCUGCAGCGUAGAUCCUUCGGGGCUAAAUGCAUUUGUGCUAAGUUAUAGCAUUUUAUAGACAACUUGUUGACUAUGAUUUGUCUUGUAGCUUACUCGCUUAUGUUAUUUUACCUACGCUUAGGAUGUUGAUAUGCAUGACUGAUAU